UUUUUUAAUAAGUACUUUCUGCCCGGUGUAAUUUAUAAACGGCCGCGGUAUCUUGACCGUGCAAAGGUAGCAUAAUCAUUUGUCCUUUAAUUGGGGGCUAGAAUGAAGGGAAAUUUGAGGUUCCGUCUGUCUCUUUUUUGUAAAGGUAAUUUGCUGUUUUUGUGAAGAAGCAAAAAUUUUUAAAAAAGACAAGAAGACCCUAUUAAGCUUUUACUUUUAUAGUUGUUAAUGUUUUCUUUAAAGUACACUUGUUAAUAUAUAAAAGUUUGGUUGGGGUGACUAAAGAAGAAAAAAAUCUUCUUUUUUAUAACAAACUAUUUGUUCAAAAAUGACCCAAAAUUUUUUGGUUUUAAGAAUAAGUUACUAUAGGGAUAACAGCGUAAUCUUUUCUUAAAGUUCGUAUUGAAGAAAAGGAUUGCGACCUCGAUGUUGACUUGUUUUUUCCUAAUAAGGUGUAGCUGCUAGUAAGGUUGGUCUGUUCGACCAUUAAAAUAAUACGUGAUCUGAGUUCAGACCA
rnacentral:rRNA from 1 species